UGUUGCUAGCAAGGUUCACCCAGGAGCCAGCAGGACAAGUUGGACCUGUUGGAAAGAAGCAAACAUCUGAUGUUCUUUUGUCAGAGAUGAAAUCCAUUAAAAGCAUGUUAAUUCCACAAGUUUAGUGUCAGCUGAACCACUGAGCAGCAGUGCAAGCAGAGUGGAUAAAUCCCUCUGUCAGGAGUUGCUGCAAUUAUCAUUUUCCCUGCACAAUGAUGCUGUAAAGGAAGAUCUUCAUCUUUUGUGAAGGUGAAGAGCAGAACUUGUGCAUUGGAGUGACAGUAAAAAUGCAAGUAUUGCAAGAGCUUUUCUGAGGAUACAACUUUACAGUGACUGGGAAAAAUGUCAAGCUUUGAAAGAGCAUUUGUUGUGUCUAUGAGAGAGAACUCCAUCAAACUCAGGCCUUGGAGAGUGCUGCUGUGGAUGGCAAUGAGUGUGACUCAUCUGGCUAUAGAGCUGGAAGUGUAAUAUUAAAGAAAAUAAAUAACAAGGCUGCAAAGAGCAGUAAAUGAGGAAAUGAGGCAUGGAUGUGUGAGACAGAGGUUGGUCUGCUGCAUCAUUUUCCAUCAUCUUGGACUUCCAUGGGGGAAUUUCUUCUGUGGUGGGAAGGAAGGACCGCUGUGGUGCAGUGUAUGUACUGUAAAUCCAUUUAAUAUAUGGUGUAAAUGUGC
rnacentral:lncRNA from 1 species